rnacentral:lncRNA from 1 species
UAGCCAAGUGUUGCCAGAAAAAUGGAUUUAAGUUCCCCAUGCUGUGGAGACCUCACUUGGAAGAGCUGAAUUUUUAUUUCUUUCCAAAGACAGAGAGCUUUAAUUUGUAAAAAUCUCCAAAGCAUUUCUAUGUCCUUGUGUGAAAGAUGCUACAGGAACACAAAAUGGGAUUGUUUUUCUGUAGUGAAACUGCAAGUGUUAAUGUUCCAGUGUUUCACAAUCCACAGAAGAACUUAUGUUCGUGAUACCUUUUUUUCCUGAACAGUGAUAUUUGCAGUGCUACUUGUCUUUUUCUCUUUCUCUUUUGUUUUUGGUAAACAACAGUACUCAAUGACAAGUAUCAGCAGAAAGCAGCAGAGAUUAAAAAAAUGUUUCAAAGUGCUCAGUGGCAGUGGGCAGAGGAGCAGCAAAGAUUUGCAGUGGAGAAAGAUAACAUCCGCAGAGUGUACCUCGCUGCAGUGGAAUACCUUAUUAAAGAAAAAACUCAAACAGAGAAGGCUUGCCAGGAAAAGAAUGCUGUCCUGCAAAACAUGCUCAGGAAGUUGAGGGAUAUGGAGGUAGAGCACCAUGGCUGCAGCGAGAUCCCGAGGCUCCGGGCUGAUCAUCUGGAUCUCGAGGAUAGACAGAAGGACAGACUUGUCAGGGAGCUGGAGAUCCUCAAAUGUGCAAUGGAGAGAGGGGGCUGAGGAAAGGAAGGAAACUGAAGAACCCUCUGGGAGAUUAGUGGAUGCUGCAACCGGCCUGAGCCUGCGUGAAAGCCCAGUGAUGUGUCAUCUAGAAUACAUUUGCAAGCACAAGACUGACACUAUGAACAACCUUCAGCAGAACCAGGAGGGUGCUUUAGCAAAAAUGUCUGAAAAGUUAAAAGCACAGGAAGAUUGCUGGCAGAAAGAAAAGCAACAUCUUGAACACCAGAACUCAAAUCUCCUUGCAGAAUUUCAUGCAAGACCACAAGUAUGGCACUGUGAACUUCUAAUUUUUUUCUUGCAACAUUUGAUGGAUUUUUUUCAGUAGUUUAAGCCCCUUAGCAGUUUAAGGUCAUUUGGGAAUUUUAGUAUAUUUUUUAAGUUAAGGAAAAAAAAGCUUACAGCAAACCAACCCGUCAUUGCACUCACAUUAACAUCACUUAAAAUAAGAAAUAAAUGACUUUGUUGAAGCAUUCUGAAGAGAAUUUGGUCUGCAGCCCCAAUUCAGAAGCCUGAUUUGGUCUAUUUUUGGUAGUAUUUUGGCAGUAUUUUUUGUUUCUGAGAAUGUUAAAGCUGUAAGAUCAAAUUUGCUUAUUUUAAGAAUUACAGGGGACAGCAGCUGCUUUUUCAGCACCAUCAUUUGCAGAGAUUGUAUAGAGCAACAAUAAUGUGGGGAUGAAUUUAGUUACAUGUGUACUGACCCUAAGACAAUGGCAGAUUUCAACGGUGUUAAGUGACUCUAUUGCACUGAUAUUACAGUCAGAAGUGGUUUAGAGGUGUAAAACUCUCACUGCUUGUUAGAUGAGUUAUUUGCAAACCCAAAUGUUCCCUGUUGUUCCACAACCACCAUUUACCAUCACAUUCCUUCACAUCUUUUUCAUUUAAAAGUGUUGUGAAUAAAGAAAAUAGAUGUCCAUUGU